rnacentral:rRNA from 1 species
CUACGGGGGGCUCCAGUGGGGAAUUUUGCGCAAUGGGCGGAAGCCUGACGCAGCAAUACCGCGUGAGUGAAGAAGGCCUUUGGGUCGUAAAGCUCUUUUCUGAAGGAAGAUAGUGACGGUACUUCAGGAAUAAGCACCGGCUAACUCCGUGCCAGCAGCCGCGGUAAUACGGAGGGUGCAAGCGUUGUUCGGAUUUACUGGGCGUAAAGGGCACGUAGGCGGCACAGCAAGUUAAGGGUGAAAUCCCGGGGCUCAACUCCGGAACUGCUCUUAAAACUGCUGAGCUAGAGAUAGUCAGAGGCGGGUGGAAUUCCUGGUGUAGAGGUGAAAUUCGUAGAUAUCAGGAGGAACACCGGUGGCGAAGGCGGCCCGCUGGGGCUAUUCUGACGCUAAGGUGCGAAAGCGUGGGGAGCGAACGGGAUUAGAUACCCGGGUAGUC